GUUGUAUUCCCUCCGUCCAAAAAUACUUGUCAGAGAAAUGCAUAAAAAUUGAUGUACCUAGAACUAAAAUAUAUCUAGAUACAUUCAUUUUCGAGACAAACAUUUCUGGACGGCGGGAGUAUGUU
rfam:Triticum aestivum genome assembly, contig: Triticum_aestivum_CS42_TGACv1_scaffold_249542_3DL